rnacentral:lncRNA from 1 species
UCUGGCUUGGUCUUUGCACUACACAUAAAGAUCAAACCACCGAGCUUCUCCUUUCUUUCAUCUCUUUGACUCUUUUCCUUCAAAUCAAGCUUUUCUUUGUUUCUUUGACUCCUCGAGUUCUUAUCUGUAUUGCCAGGCUUUCCUUCACUCCUUAAGUUACUCCCGUUCCUACUUGAACCAGCAAUCCUUUCUUGGCUCUUUUGAGUCUCCAGGUGCUUUGCAUUGUGCUCUUCAUGGGCACCUUUCUUUUUAAGUUUCUCUUCCCUAGAAUUUGGGUUCUGGUCAUUCUUGUGCUCCUGUCUGUUACCUUCCUUCACAUCAGGUUUUCCUUUGUUUUUUUGACUCCUCGAGCUCUUAUCUGUACUGCCAGGCUUUCCUUCGCUCCUUAGGUUACUUCCGCUCCGACUUGAACCAGCAACCCUUUCUUGGCUCUUUUCAGUCUCUUGGUGUUUUGCAUUGUGCUCUUCAUGGNNNNNNNNNNNNNNNNNNNNNNNNNNNNNNNNNNNNNNNNNNNNNNNNNNNNNNNNNNNNNNNNNNNNNNNNNNNNNNNNNNNNNNNNNNNNNNNNNNNNNNNNNNNNNNNNNNNNNNNNNNNNNNNNNNNNNNNNNNNNNNNNNNNNNNNNNNNNNNNNNNNNNNNNNNNNNNNNNNNNNNNNNNNNNNNNNNNNNNNNNNNNNNNNNNNNNNNNNNNNNNNNNNNNNNNNNNNNNNNNNNNNNNNNNNNNNNNNNNNNNNNNNNNNNNNNNNNNNNNNNNNNNNNNNNNNNNNNNNNNNNNNNNNNNNNNNNNNNNNNNNNNNNNNNNNNNNNNNNNNNNNNNNNNNNNNNNNNNNNNNNNNNNNNNNNNNNNNNNNNNNNNNNNNNNNNNNNNNNNNNNNNNNNNNNNNNNNNNNNNNNNNNNNNNNNNNNNNNNNNNNNNNNNNNNNNNNNNNNNNNNNNNNNNNNNNNAGCAGUUUCAGUGCUUUCGCCAUUUCACAUAUCCAGUUAUUCCUUUGCAAAUAUGUUUGAUAUUCACCACUAUAAGGUGCAUUUUUUGGCUUUCUGUUUUUUCAGUUUUAUGUAUCCAUUUCUGUCCUAGUGCAGGCAUUGUCUUCUUUGUAUAUAUGGGACAAUUGCCCUUGGGUUGGUUCUUGCAGGAAGAUUGAAAGAAUUAAGGGUUGUAUAUAUUUUGACUAGUAAAAUUAACUUUAGUUAUCUUCUAGUUGAUGGCAGUUAUGCUUGUGAAUGUAAUGUCUAACUUUUCCUUAUUUGCAGUUUACUAUGGCUUUGAAAAUUCAUUUAGUAGUCUAGCUCCACAUGUUGUACAGGUAGACAUGAUGAAUUCUUACCAUUCUUCUCUGGCAAUUUAUUGCACUUUUCUAUUUAUGUUUUCAUUAAUUGUUAUUUUCUGUUUGCAGUGGCUGUUGGGCUCAUAUAACACACAAAUACUUCUUAUGGUGUUUCUUGCCAUAGUUUCUCUCUUAUUAGCAGGAUUCUUUGGGCACCAUGCCAACCUGUGUCGCAUGAAUACCACGAUUAAUGAGGUCUGGUCUAGUUUCUCUGUAAUUUGUUCAACUAGUUUUAUCUUUUCUCUUGGAAAUAGAUGAAGCAAGGACAUAGGCAGAAUAAUUUAUAAAAUGGGAGAAGCACAUACUAUCCCUGAUUCCAUAUCUUUUUUAUGGGUCGAAAAUGGAAUCAACUGUGUUGUUGAACAAUGAAUAACUACCACAACUGCAGUGCUAUACAUGUUUGCCUCUUCUGGUUAAUUUCAGGACAAAAACAUUGCAUCUUAAUUCUUAAAUAACUUCACGUGACUUUGAGAAGUUUAUGUAAAGUAGUUUCCUUCCCUCAGGCUUAUUUGUGGUGAGUUCAAUAAUCGGUUCUGCAAUGUCAGUAAGGAUCAAACUCUUUCCCAUGAGAGUUCUUGUGAUGGCUGUAUCGAUCUUUACAUGUGAUGUUAUUAAAGUAGUUGAUGUAAUUUGUUGUUUUUUUUUUUCUUUUUUUAAUCAAAUUAUUUCUGGUAGUUUAUGGUAAUUAAAGCCAUGCCUCUCCCUCACUCUAUUGGCAGAUUCAAAUUGUUGCCUUACUUCUUUUGGUAAACAAUUAAUCCCUGAAACUUACAUCUCUGUGUUCUUUGACUUUUUGGUUGGGAUUUACAGACCUUCAAGUGGCAAGAGUACCUUGUCUGGCAAAAGAAGGUAAAUGAAGCAAGGGUUAGUGCCGCGGCACUAAAAGCAAGCAUCAGUGAGAUUGGUGACAAAACAAAGCAUUCAGAGAGCAAAUGUAGAGGCUUUUGCCGGAGAUCACCCCUCAAAGAUGCUGAGGUUUUAGUUAAGAGAAACGUGUAUGAUAAGGGAUUCUUUCACAAUCUUUGUGAGGUAAUCUUUCCGCUGUCAACAAGACCAUCAUGUUUGAGUAAAAAAUCAAAGUCUCGCUGAGAUAGUUGUGAUCAAGCAUUAACUGGGUAGUUUCUAUAGCUUUUCCCUUGAUUGGAGCUUGAACCCAUACUGCAUGUUCAAUAUAUUAUAAUAGAACAUAAUGGAAUGUAAUUCAAUAUGAUAAAAAGAUAAUAAAAUAAUAAACUAUUCCAUUGCGCUCCAUUAUAUAUUACCAAACAUGCAUGUAGAGAAUGCUGUGAAGCUUAUAUUUUAUUUGCUGAUGGAAUAGGCAAAAAUAUAAGCAGCAUAGCAUAUGGCCUUCACCUUGCAUAGUGAAGUUUGAUGGCUAUUUUAGUGCAGAGACAUUACUUAUUCUGUAAGAAGAACAUUGGGAGAUUUUGCUUAAUGCUUAAGCGUGUAUAUUAUUAUUUUUCUUUUAUAGAUUCGAUGAGGUUUUAAAUGGAGGAAGGGUUGAUUUAAAGGUCAGCAUGUAUACUUCAUUUAUGUUUUUCUUUUGGACUAAUGCAUAAAUUUACUUUUAAAGUUUAGGUGGAUUUGCCUUGUGGCACCCUCAAUUUUGCAAGGGAACCUAUCAUGAACUUAGACUUUCACUUUUUAAUAAUAAUUAUGUCUCUACUCAAAAUAAAAUAACUUUGUAAGAAUUCAAUUAUAAUUCUGCAUUUUUACAUUUUAUUUUGGUAAGGAGUAUAAUUAUUACUGAAAUAUGAAGGUGUAAGAUUAUAAUAGGUCUUCCGCAAACUUGAGAGGGUGUCACAAAUCGCAUAAACUUCAGAGAUAAUACUAUGCGUUCGACCUUUUUAUUUUUUAUUUUUUAUUUUUUAUUUUUUUGCAAGUGGUACAUCUCUCUUUGGAGUAGGGCGAUGGCCUUUCUAGCUUCUCAUGUUAUGAUUGGUCUUGUCUUCCCCAAAAUUUUUUUUAGGUUCACGACUUGCAACGUUACCAUCUACGAACUAUUCUAUUCCAUAAUUUAAAUAUUUAAAACUAUAAAUUGUGAGCAGAAAAGUAAAAAAAAAAAAAGAAAAUUCCCUUUUAAAAAAGGACAAUUGUCUUUCGUGGAAUUUAUCUUGGGAAUAAGGCUCAAUUUGUUUAUUCCACUUAGCAAACUAUAAUUUACUUAAAAAUUAGUUUUUUAUAUAAUUUAUCUCUUGAACUUACACAAAAAAAAAAAAAAAAAAGAAAAAGCUUAUUUUAAAAAAAAAAUUAUUCUAAAUAUUUUUAAUUAAUAAAAAUAAUUUAAAAGUUUAGACUUAAAAAAGAAAAAAUAAUUUUAAAAAUUACAAUAUAAUUAAACAAAAUAAUUACAUUGCUUUCAAAUUCUGAAGAUAAAUUAUACGAAAAGAUUUUUGAUAUUUCAAAGAGCAAAUUGGAUUGGAAGUUAAAAGUUUAUAUAUAUAAUGGUUCGAUUGGAUUGGAUGGUUUUCAAAACCAUAUAACCAAACUAAAAGCUCAAGUUUUUAAAUUUUACGAAAGCAAAUCAAAUCAUCAAUUAUUGAAAACCACAGUUUUAGAUCCAUCAAUUUCAGCAGUGAGAUGAAUACCCUUGUCCUGUGAAGCAAUUUGGCCUCGCUGCAUUUAUUAGUGUCUUCAAUGUCAAAAUGAUCAUGUGCAUGUAGGCCAUACUAUAAUCAAUCAACAACUUUGAGUUUUGUUACAUUUUUUUUUUUUUUUGUUUGUAUUGAGGUCAAUGUUUUUCUUCUGUAUUAUAAUCGAAUGAUAAUAAUAAGAAAUUACAUUUUGUGUGUAAACAAGCAGAUUAGCCUCAAGUCAAACUGCUGAAAUCAUAAUUGUUAAUUUAACCAGUUUAUGCAUGAUGAUCAAGUAAAUCUGAAAAAGAAUGGUUGUGAUGUGAUCGUCAUCACAACCUACUGUAGCCUCUUCUGGUUAAUUUCAGGACAAAAACAUUGCAUCUUAAUUCUUAAAUAACUUCACGUGACUUUUAGAAGUUAAUGUAAAGUAGUUUCCUUCCCUCAGGCUUAUUUGUGGUGAGUUCAAUAAUCGGUUCUGUAAAGUCAGGAAGGAUCAAACUCUAUGCCAUAAGAGUUCUUGCGAUGGCUGUAUCGAUCUUUACAAGUGAUGUUAUUAAAGUAGUUGAUGUAAUUUGUUUUUUUUUUUUUCUUUUUUUAAUAAAAUUUUUUCUGGUAGUUUAUGGUAAUUAAAGCCAUGCCUCUCCCUCUCUCUAUUGGCAGAUUCAAAUUGUUGCCUUAUUUCUUUCGGUAAACAAUUAAUACCUGAAACUUACAUCUCUGUGUUCUUUGACUUUUUGCUUGGGAUUUACAGACCUUCAUGUGGCCGGAGUACCUUGUCUGUGUUGUGGUGUGCCCACUUAAAUGGGACCCACACGUGUGAAAGUAAGAAAAAAUAGGAGCAGCCAGUUCAACCGUGAUGGCUUUGAAUUGCUGCACAUGGGCAGUGAGCAUGUUAGGCAGUAAACACGAUAAUUAUGCGUCUCUCAUUCUCUAUAAAUAGAGGCACCUGCAACACAGUAGAAAAAAAGAGAAAAUGUAGCAAGAGAGUUUUCUAGUUUUAGGAAGAGUUUCCCUAGGUGAGAGAAAAAUAGUGAGGAAAUUAUUAUGGGGUGUUUUUGGAAAACACUUUAUGUGCCACUAUUUUUAUGUUACUCUUUUUGUGUAACUACUAUUUUUUUAAUAGUGGAAUAAUUAUUCGGAGUUUGUCCCGUGGACGUAGCCCUAAACAAUUGAGGGUGAACUUUUUUUAAUAGUAGAAUAAUUAUUCGGAGUUUGUCCCGUGGACGUAGCCCUAAACAAUUGAGGGUGAACCACGUAAAUUUCUGUGUGUCCCAUUUCUAUUUUCCGCUGUGUAAUUAUUCUCUUAAUUCUUGAAAAGGCCCAACAAGUGGUAUCAGAAUUGAUGCCUAACAACUGGUAUCAGAACUGAUUCCCAACAAGUGGUAUCAGAGCCGAAGGUUUCGGUAGAUCCAGCCGAUUAGAUAGCGGUACUAGAUCCGUGGAUAUAUUUUGAAAAUAAAUAUACCACGACGAAGAGAAAAUUACGAUGAGUCCAUUGGUGUUAUCCGCUCGGAAAGACGUUGCAGAAUCGACUUAGUGAUGAAUGGUAAAAUAGUAACUCGCGGUUGAAAGUGAAUAGUUACUAUUGGCGUUACUGUUGCUGAGCCCGUCACUAUUAAGCCCAGCACUAUUACGUAUAGUACUAUUCAUGAAUAUAUGUACUAUUCAUAUAUAGUACUAUUUACGUGUACAGUUACUGUUCAUACAUAAAGUUACUAUUCGAUUAUACUAUUACUAUUAAUGGUCACUAUUUACGUAUACUACUGUUCACAUAUACGGUUUAUGUUAGUGAUGAUAUUCUGCAUAAGUCAAAAUCGAUAAAUAAAAUGAUCAGUCUGAAUGACGCGUAUUUUAUCAACAACUAAAAAAUUUUCACCAAAUUAAUAAUGUAUUUACUCUGAUAAUGACAAAUAUUUUAAAAAAGAUUUUAAAAUAAAAUAGAGAAUCACAGUUGAGGGCAGUUUUGAGGUCAACAUCUUGACUUAAGUGCAAAGCUUAACCAAGGAGGAAAUUGAAUCGAAGUAACUCCAAAUUUGAUUUUGGGGUCUCAUAGAAGUCAAGCAAAGUCAUUUGAGACUCUCUCUCUCUAGCUUCAAAAGAGCGCCAGCUCUGCUUCCGUACAACCCCUAGGCUAUACCCUACGGCUAGAAGAAUCAAACCAAUAAACUUUCUCUGACUAUUUUACCCUUCCACCCCGUAAUUAUUACAUUAACUGCCAUCAAUUGUUAUUAUUAUUAUUUUUUUUUUAUCAUGAAUUCUGGAAGCUUCUUAAUGGAAAGUAGACAUGAUAUGACUAGCUUAUCCACCCUAAUUGCUAAUUUUGUAAUUAGUGGAAAAACUCUUCUCUCACCCCAAUCUUGUAUGUCAAUGUGAAAUUUGAUAAAAGCGGUUAAGUUACUUUUUCAAAAAAUUAUAUAUAAAAAAUUGAGAACUUUAUAUAUAUAUUUUUUCGAUCUGAAAUUAAAUUAAAUAUAAUAUAAUUAUUUGUAAUGCUGCAUGGAAUGACCAAAAUGUUCAUCUUAGUUUUGGAAUAGUUUGUAACGUUUAACAAGGGUAAAGUAUCAUCACCUUCAUUUGUAAAUCAGUCAAAAUGAACGUUAUAUUUUGGACCACCUUUCUUUUAUUUUACUUCAAUUCCAAGAAUUAUCAAAUUUUGGAAGUAAAUUUUCUUUCCCGUAUUAAAAAAUAAAUUACGUAUUUUACUUAAAUGAUUAAAAAUAGAGAAUAACAUAAAAUAAAUUGAAUCCAUCUCCAAUUUUAACAGUCUUUUUACAAUAAUUCAAUUCAAUUUUUUCAAGAGAAAUGAAUUUUUGCUCAAUAUUUUUUAAUAGAUGAUGCCAAAAUCAAUAUAAUGGGAGAAGAAAAAGAUUAUAUUUCACGUCAGAAACAAAAAAAAAAAAAAAAAAAAAAAAAAAAAAAAAAGAAAAUUGAAACAGCAUUUAAUAGGAAAUUAUUUAAAAAAGCAUACUUACAGAGUAGGCCCGUUGGACAAGCAAAUGAAUGAGAUGUCAAGUCACUUCUUUAUUAUGGUUUGGUGGUAGUAUAAUAAAUACAAAGCAGAAAAAUCAGUCUCAUUUCAGCCUUCAGUAUAGAAAAUUAUUAUUAUUAUCAUCUUCUCUUUGGUAGUUUGCUAUUGUUUUCUCUGAGUUUUUAAAAAUUAAAAUCCACAAUAAGAAUAUGGAUGAUCGUCAUCACAACCUACUGUAGCAACAGCUUCGUUACUUAAGUUGGGGGAAGCAGGCUGUUUUACUUCUCUUCAAGCCUUUACCCGCUUCUUUCUCUUUCUUUUCUUUGAUCAGCCAUUCUAAGCUUUCGCCAAGUGAUCAUCACUUCCUUCCUGCAGAUUAAGGAUUUCAAAUUCCUUCUUUUGUUUGCUUUUAUAUUCCAUUCCUUCAUAUUUUGUCUGUUUUCUCCUUGUUGUUUUCCAUUUCUCAUUUUGAUUCCAAAACCACAAUCUUUUCUCCUCUCUCUUCUUUUUAUGUUAAUUGCUUAUUAUUAGUUGAUUUUCUUUCCAAUUCUCAAUCUUUUUCCUGUCUGAAAGUUUGUUUUCUUAUUCCUAAAAACAAAAAAAAAAAAAAAACAAAAAAAAAAAGAACCAAUUAAGGAGCAAAUGGACACACUUGUGGGAACUGGAGUAACAAAAGUUACAGAACCGUUGAUUGAUUCAGUAUUGCGUCAAAUUGGGUAUAUAUGGAACUACCGGGACAACCUCCAGAGCUUGAGAGCUCAAGUACAAAAACUGAAAGGUGAAAUGCAAGUUUUGGAGCAUAAAAUGGAGAAUGCUAGACAAAAAGGAGAACAAAUUGAAGAUCUUGUGAAGAGCUGGCUGAAAGAUGCGAAUGAGAAAAUUGAAGCUUCUGAGAAAAUUUUGGAAGAUAAUGACAGAGCGAAUCAUUUUUGCUUUAUGGGAUGCUGUCCUAAUAUGAAGACCCGCCACCAGUUCAGCAGAAAAGCAAAUAAAAAGACACAAGUUCUGGUUGAGGUUCGAAACGAAGGCAAGUUUGAGAAAAUCUCCUACCGCACUGCUCUCAAGGGGAUAGGCCCUCCUAAGGAUUAUGAAGCCUUUGAAUCCAGAAUGCUAAUUUUGAACCAAAUGCUGGAGGCUCUAAAAGAUGUUGAUGUUACUAUGAUUGGGGUGUAUGGAAUGGGAGGUGUGGGCAAGACAACACUAGCAAAAAAACUUGCCAAACAAGUUGAGGAAGAUGGAAUUUUCAAGGUGGUGGUUAUAGCAACGGUAACCUCUAAUGUAGACUUGAAAAGAAUUCAACAAGAGAUCGCAGAGUGGUUAAGGUUCCCUCUUGACGCGGAGGCCCCCACACCGAGGGCAGCUUCGUUAUGCUUAAGACUGAAACAGGAGGAGAAAAUUCUUGUAAUUCUUGAUGACNNNNNNNNNNNNNNNNNNNNNNNNNNNNNNNNNNNNNNNNNNNNNNNNNNNNNNNNNNNNNNNNNNNNNNNNNNNNNNNNNNNNNNNNNNNNNNNNNNNNNNNNNNNNNNNNNNNNNNNNNNNNAAGUUUUAGAGGAUGAAGAGGCAAGGCAAUUAUUUGAGAAGAAGGUGGGAACUCUAAAACAUUCGCAGAUAAAACCUAUGACAGAUGAAGUUGCAAAGAGAUGUGCAGGUUUGCCAAUUUCAAUUGUGGCAGUUGCAACAGCAUUGAAAAAUAAGGGGUUGGAAGAAUGGAAGGAUGCCUUGGAACGCCUGAAAAGGUCUGAUGAGGAUGAUAUGGAUAAGCAAGUUCAAUCUUGUUUUGAUUUAAGCUAUAGAUAUUUGGAAAAUGAUGAAAUGAAAUCACUAUUACGUUUAAGCGCAUAUUUAUUUUUUAGCGAUAGAGUAGACCAAUUGCUGAAAUAUGUUUUGGGCUUGAGUUUAUUCGAGGGAUGCAGAAACUUAGAGGAAACAAGUAAUAGACUUCAUAAGUAUGUUAAUGACCUCAAAUCCUCAUGUUUGCUGCUAGAAGGUCAGAGGGAUGGAGAAUUCAAAAUGCACGACGUUGUUCGCAGUUUUGCUAUUUCAACUGCAUCUAGGGAUCAUCACGUCUUCGCUGUAGCAGAUGACAAGUUAUUAGAAUGGCCACCUAAAUCUAAACUUGAACAGUGCACCGCAAUCUCUUUAUAUUAUCCUGAAAUUCCUGAGCUUCCUACAACACUUGAAUGCCCGCAACUGCAAUCAUUUCUACUAGUUUUUCCUGCUUUGGGUCUCUCGUUAAGAAUCCCAGAUGACCUUUUUACUAUGACAACAGAACUGAAAGUUUUGGAUUUAACAGGCAUAAGUUUAUUGUCACUACCUUUGUCAAUUCAAAUUCUUGAGAAUCUUCAAACCUUGUGUUUGGAUUAUUGUAAGUUGGAAGAUAUAAGUAUAAUCGGAAAGCUAAAGAAGUUGCAAGUUCUCAGCCUUAUGAACUCUGAUAUUGUUCGAUUGCCAAGGGAAUUGGAGCAGUUGACUCAUCUGCGACUUUUAGAUUUGAGCAACUGUUCUAGCCUAGAAGUGAUUCCUCGCAAUGUCCUGUCAAAGUUAGUCCGAUUGGAGGACCUGCGCAUGGGUAACAGCUUUGUCCAAUGGGAGGGUGAAAAACAAGGUGGUGUAGGGAAAAAUGCUAGCCUCUCUGAAUUGAAGGCUCUAUCAAAUCUAGUAGCUCUAGACAUACACAUUCUUGAUGCAAACAUACUGCCUAGAGAUUUGUUCUCUGAAAAGCUGGAGAGAUUUAGAAUAUUCAUUGGGGAUGGGUGGAAUUGGUCUGAUGAUAUGUAUGCAACGUCAAAAGUGCUGAAACUCAAGCUUAACACAAGUGUUAACCUUGAGGGAAUAAAAGUCUUAUUGAUGACAACUGAACAUCUACAUUUGGAUGAGCUGAACGGUGUAAAAAAUAUCCUCCAUGAGUUAGACGAAGAAGGUUUUCCAUACUUGAAGAAACUCUACAUCCAAAAUAGUCUUGAUAUUGAACAUAUUAUAGACUGGAGGAGGAUGAACCAUGUCAUUGCUUUCCCCGAGUUGGAGUCAUUAUUUCUACAAAAUUUAAAGAAAUUGGAGAAGAUUUAUCACGGCAGUUAUGUGAUGAGGUCUUUCCGCAAUUUAAGAGAAUUAAAGGUCGGAAAUUGUAAUGUAUUGGAGAAUCUCUGUUCGUUCUCUAUGCUCAAGGGUCUUUUGGUGCUCGAAAAAAUAAAUGUAAGCCGCUGUGAAAUUUUGAAAGAGAUUGUUGCUAUGGAAAGAAGAGAAGAUUCUGAAAUUAAGUUGCCACAUUUACGCAAAUUGAAAUUGGAACAUUUACCUCAGCUUACAUGCUUUUGCUCCCAAGGGGAUGUGCCUUCCAUUUCCCUAAAGCCAGCAACAGCUUCUACGAGCUCUGGAGACGUCAUAUUGGAGGAUGAAUCUGCAACUCUCUCGCUACUUUUCAGCAAAAAGGUGCGCUUCAUAUCCUUUUUCUAGUCCCAUUUUUUUUUUUUUUUUUUCAUUUGAAAAUGAAGUAUAUUUCUGUUUAUGAGACGUGAAAUAAUAUCAAAUUCUUGGCAGCUAAAGCAACACAAAUCAAAUAAAACUUUUAAGGUUGAGUUUUUUUUUUUUUUCUUUUCUUCCAAACAAAGUAUAUAUAUAUAUAUAUAUAUUAUAUUACUCCCGUCCCAAAAAGACAGUACACUUCCUUUUUUCACACAAAUUAAGAAAUAUAAUUAAAGAAUAAUUUUUUUUAUAUAACUUUUCUAUUUUGUCCAUAUUAAAUAACACAUGAUUAUUGAAAUAAUAACUAAUAAUUAAUUCAAUAAGCGUAUAGUAGACAUUUCUUACUUAAUUUCCAAUACAUUAACAUUAAUUGUUCACUUUAAUAAACUCAGAUUGUUCACUUCAAUAAUAGGAAACUAAGCUAACCAAUUAAAUUAAAAGUUUUAAAUAAUAAUUUUCUAUUUUAUGUUUUAGGCACUAAAAUUAAUGCAAUUAUUAAAUUUAAGCAUGUCCAUUUCUCUAUUAGUAUGUUUUGGAGUUGACAGUACUUAAAUUUAUUUUUCUUGAAACACAAAUUGUGUCUACAGAUUCAAUUCCCCAAUUUGGUAGAUCUGAAAUUAGCUUCAAUCAAUGUGGAGAAGAUAUGGCCCAAUCAACUUGCAGAAUUAUCUCCAUGGAUUACAAACUUAACAAGCUUGAUUAUUGACACCUGCGAGAAUUUAAGCUAUUUAUUCACAUCUUCUAUAGUUGAAAGCCUCGCGAAACUCAUAAACAUUGAGAUAAGGGAUUGUAAAUCCAUGAAAGAAGUCAUAGUUACAAACCGAGAAGAAAUGAAGAGCAAAAUGCUAUUCCCUAAACUGGUCUCCAUGAAGCUCAAAGGCCUUCAGAGUCUCAGAAGAUUUUGCACUGCGAAGUUCAUAGAAUGUCCCUCCUUGAAACACUUGUGGAUAGAGAAUUGCCCGCAACUCCAAGCAUUUAUCUCUAGUUCCAGAAGGACAUAUGCGGGAACUAGUGGACAAGCAAACUCAACUCUCUUUGAUGAAAAGGUUAUUUCCUUCUUUUCUGUUUACGUUCAUCUUUUAGUUUUCAGAAUUUGAUGUUAACUCCAUGAAAUUUUUACUUCAGAUUUUGUUUCCCAACUUGGAAAAUCUGCGUAUCACGAACAUGCACACAUUGAAGAUGAUAUGGAACGAUGAACUCCGGGUGGAUUCCUUUUGUAGAUUGAAAGUACUCGAAGUAGAGCAUGGAAAAGAACUAUUGAAAGUUUUUCCAUCUAAACAGUUGCUGAGAUUCAAGAACUUAGAAAGAUUGAUGGUUAAUGAUUGUAAUUUAGUGGAAGAGGUAUUUGAUCUCCAAGCAUUGAUGAAAAAACAAGAAGAAACAGAUGUUGUAGCAACCAGUCAGACUCAAUUGAGAGAUUUGAGUAUAAGAAACAACUCCCAAAUUUGAAGAAUGUAUGGAAUGGGGAUCCUAGUGGAAUUUUGUCCUUUAGUAAGCUACAAAUUGUGUAUGCAUGGAUUUGUCCAAAUUUGAAAGAGCUAUUCCCAUUUUCAAUAGCUCAAAGUCUUCCACAACUUGAACUGCUGAAUAUAGAUGGUUGCGGGAUGGAGGAAAUUGUUGCCAAAGAGGAAAGAGCAGAAGCAACUCCUAAGUUUACAUUUAGUCGACUGAAGUCCUUAUCCCUUUGGAGAUUAAAUCGAUUAAAGUGUUUUUACUCAGAAAACCACAUCUUAGAAUGUCCGCAGUUAGAAAAAUUGAGUGUCUAUCACUGUGAUAAAUUGGAAAUUUUUACUUCAGAACCUGGGGAUUUGCAAACAAUGGACUUGGAGAAGCAGAAGACUCAAUUGAAAAUUCAGGUUCCGCAGCCACUUUUUUCAUUUAGAAAGGUAUGUAAGAAAAUGUGUUUUUUUCAAUUUUAAUAUUUUACAAGAAAAAAGUUUCUUAAAACCUAAAAAACAAAACAUUUUUCCUUCGAACAAAAUUUGAUUUAUUCGUUUGAGUUCGUAAUCAUAUAACUGUAUUCCUAUAAACGGACUAUUAACUCAACUUGAUUUCUAUUCAAUGGUUUCCAGAUUAUUCCCAACUUGAAGCAUUUAUCAUUAGAGAACAGGGACACCUCAACGAUUCCUCAAGGCCAGUUUCCAGCACACAAACUAGAAUUUCUUGAAUUGAAUUGUUUUCUUGAUGGUUCAACAGAUUCUGCAUUUGGUCUCAUUCAUAAAUUUCCAAAUAUUAAAAAGCUUACUCUGGCAGCUUCUUCCUUCAAAGUGCUAUUCCAACAUGGUAUUCUUGGUGAAGCUGAAGGGGCUCUCGCUCGGCUGCAAUUCUUAAAACGGGACAACCUUCCGCACAUGAGCCACAUUUGGAGUGAAGAUUGCCCACCUGACCAUGUUUUCCAAAAUCUUGAAGCUUUAGAAGUAUGGGUUUGCCGCAGUUUGAUUAUCUUGGCACCGUCAACCGCAUCUUUCCAAAACCUUUCUACUCUUGAUGUUUCGGACUGUGAUCGACUAGUUAACCUAGUAGCAUCCUCUACUGCAAACAGUAUGGUGAACCUCACGAAAUUGACUGUAAGAGAUAGCAAUAUGCUGAAAGAAAUUGUAGCCAACGAGGGAAAUGAAUCCCAAUCCCAUUCCCAACCUCAGAUUAUUCUCAGUAAAUUGGAAACUCUAGAGCUCUGUGGCUUAAAAAACCUGACUAGCUUCUGCUCAAUCGCAAGUUGCACCAUCAAAUUCCCAUCUUUGAAUGAUGUAGUUGUGGCACAGUGCCCCAACAUGAAGAUUUUNNNNNNNNNNNNNNNNNNNNNNNNNNNNNNNNNNNNNNNNNNNNNNNNNNNNNNNNNNNNNNNNNNNNNNNNNNNNNNNNNNNNNNNNNNNNNNNNNNNNNNNNNNNNNNNNNNNUGUUGAAUGUUGACUUAGUAGCUAUGGUGAAGGCCGUUGGAAGAUUAGAUAAUUAUUUGUUAUUCUGUUGCUAUUUUUAAGGAAUAAUUUAAUAUGCUUAUCAUAUCAGAUAUGCAUAAUAAGUUUGCUUAUUUUUCUGAAGUUUUCUGUUUUUAGAGUCUAUAAAUACUUCUGUAAUAGUGUUUCAAUAUAAUAAAAAAAAAGCCUUCACAUGUUUAUAAAUUUUGUUGUUUAAGAUCCUUUUUGAAUUACUCUUAGUUUCUGAGACACAUAUCUAACAUAUCUCUUAUCAUCAUCAAUGAUUAAAAGUAUUGUGCAUCUCCAAAGAAUUGAGAUAUGUGAUUGUAAAAAGAUGGAGCAAGUAAUAGUCGGGGACGGUUCAGAAGAAGAAACGAGGAUGCUACUACGUGAACUAGGGUUCCUGAAACUUGGAGGUCUUCCGAAACUCACACGAUUCUGCACAUGUGAUUUGAUUGAAUGUCCUGCAUUAAAUGAGCUGCAAAUUAUAAAUUGCCCUGUACUGAUGACAUUUGUCUCCAGUUCUGCAAGUGCAGUCAUGGCAGCAAGCAGUGAACGGGAAAUAUUGGACUAUACACUCUUUAAUGAAAAGGUGAUCUCUUUUUCUAAUUAUCUAAAAAGAUUGUCUUCAUUCCUGUUAUAUGGUUCGGUUAAUUUGUUUAUUUAGCUGGUGUACUUUCGUGUUCUAUUUUCAUCAUAUUAGUAAUGGAGUAUGAUUUUGUGAUGCAGGUUGCAUUCCCCAACUUGGUGCAAGUGCAAAUUUCCAAUGCAGAUGCUUUGAGAAAGAUCUGGCACAACCAACUCCACUCAGAUUCUUUCUACAAAUUACGGGUAAUGAAGGUGGAAUAUGGCAAUCAACUAGUGCAAAUUUUUCCAUCUAACAUAUUCAAGAGACUCGAGAAUCUCAACGAUGUGGUCAUAGGGAAUUGUGAUUCACUAGAAGUGGUCUUCGAUCUCCAAGAGCUGGUUAUAAAUAUAACAGAAUCAAUAACGAGUGAAUUGAGAGAUUUGGAUAUUCGAAACCUCCAAAAUUUGAAGUAUGUGUGGAAUAAGGAUCCCCAACAAGCUCUCUCCUUUCCUAACUUGAGUUCAGUUUAUGUUUGGGACUGUCCAAGCCUGAAAAACCUGUUUCCAACUUCCAUUGCUAAAAAUCUUCUCAAACUUAAAACAAACUUGACUUAAGUAAUUGUGGCUUGAAAGAACUUGUUACAAAGGAGGAAGAAGUGGAAACAAAUCCUAAGUUUGCAUUUCCUCAACUCAAGUCCUUGGACUUGUGGAGAUUAAAUGAGCUAAAUUGUUUCUAUCCUGGAUCUCACACACUAGAAUGUCCAGUUCUAGAAAAGUUGGCUGUCUUUCAUUGUGACAAAUUGGAGACUUUAACCUUUGAACCAGUUGACAGCAACUUGCAAGAAACACAAAUGGAGAACGCGCUUUUCUCAUUUAGAGAGGUACCUGUGGUCCUCAAUCCCUAUAUUAAAGAAAAUCUAAGCACGACGAGUUUUUUUCUUAACAUGUCUUCAAACUAUUUCAAUUUGUCUUUUUUUCCAGAUCAUCAACAACUUGGAGCAUUUAUCGCUAACAAGAAAGGAUGCAACAACGAUAUUGGAAGGCCAGUUUCCAGAAGACCUCUUUCACAUGCUGAAAUUCAUACAGAUAAAUUGCUAUCACGAUGAAUCUGCAGUUUUUCCAUUUGAUCUCCUUGAAAGAUUCCACAGCAUGGAAAAACUUGCUGUAGGGUGCAGUCAAUUCAAAGAGCUGUUCCCACAUGAAGGACAUGUAGGUAAAGAAAAAUAUGUUAAGACUGUCGGGCAGAUACGGCACCUAGAGUUGUAUGCUCUUGCCAAUUUAGAGCAUAUUUGGAACCAAGACUCCCAGUUAGACAAAGUUCUUCAAUCUCUCGAAAUUCUAUCUGUUUGGCGGUGUGACAGUUUGAUUACUUUAGCACCAUCCUCAGCUUCUUUCCAGAAUCUGACAACUAUGGUUGUAAAAUCUUGCAAAGUAUUAGCAAGUUUGAUGACGUCCUCAACAGCAAAAAGUCUGGUUCAGCUUACAAGAUUGAGUAUAAGGGAAUGCGAUAUGCUGAUAGAAAUAGUUGCCAGCGAAGGAAAUGAUGGAUCAAGAGAGGAGAUCAUCUUCAACAAAUUAGAAACGCUGGAACUUCUUUAUUUACCCAGCCUCGUUAGCUUUUGUGCAGCAGGGCACAGCUUCAAGUUUCCCUCUUUGACACUAGGAAUUGUGGAGCAGUGCCCCAAGAUGCAGGUUUUCUCAAGUGGAGUCUUAAGCACGCCAAAGCUACAAACUUUAAGAGUGACAGGAGAACAAGGACAUGAAGGACGUUGGAAUGGCAAUCUUAACGCCACCAUACAACAGUUGUUUACAGAAAUGGUAUGUUUUCUGAAUUCAAUAUUCAUUUCCUUUAAUGAAUAGGUAGGUAAGUGCAUGCGUUAGUAGUUCAAGAAAUCACACAAUUCAUUAAAAGACCAAAAAAGGAAAACCAUUUCUUUAAAAAUUGGUAACUAGAGUCGUCCUCAAGCAUUAUCUGACUUUAUUGCCUCUGCUGCAUAUUUUGCAUGGUCGCCAGAAUGCAGAGGAAGAUCAAUCGCCAUCUAUCGAGUGCUGAAGGCGUAAAAAGUCGAUUUUCGUUGUGAUACGAGGCAGUAGAGGCAAAUGGUGUACUCUAUUGAUUUAUGAAAUGGUGGAGGAUCAUUUUAUUUCCAUGUUAUUGCUGCUGUGAAGCUCUCUCUAUAUUUGUAUUUCUUCAAGGAUUCUGAUAUUCAUCUUAAAUUUGUUUUGAAUAAAUUAUAUUUCUGACUUGAAACCAUCAAUGAAGUGCAGAGAUCUUAUUUAAAUUAAUAUACACGAGAUUCUCAAUGGCAAAACAUCCCUCUUAACUUAACACAUUCUUUUUACAAUACCAGAAAAAACAUUCAAGUUACCAUACGAUAUUAAGUUGGAGGCUGAAGGGGCUAAGGCCACCCAAGAAUUAAAAAAAAAAAAAAAAAUUCUUUUGAAAAUUAUAUUUUGCUCUCUACAAUUUGCAACAAAAUUUCAUUUGGCUCCUCAAAAUAAUUAAAAUAAUUGUCCUAGCUCUACCUCUGAUUGCAAACAGCUUUGCUAUGAUGAUACUAGCAUUGUUUCAAGGGUGUGAUGCUAUAAUUAUAAAUUUUAUAUCUCAUUGAAAAGAUAAUAUGAGAUAAUAAGAAAUAAGCUAGUUGUUCCCCUUUUUUUUUUUUUAAAGAAAAAAAGAUGUAAUGAGAGAUUUGAACGAAUCACCGGACUUUUCAUCAAUUCGAUGAGAUUUAUUAAAAAAUGUGAGGACUCAUGUAAAAUUUAAGCUCAAAUAUUUUUUAGCUGAAAGAAAUUCAUUUGAAAGUGAAAUUUUAAUAAUUUUUACUUUACAUUUUCACUGUCGUUUUCGGUUCAAAAUAUUAAUACUAAAGGAACGCCCAUAAUUACACAAAUAUAGUACAAAAUAUAGGUAAGAUCUUAGAAAAUUUUAAAAAAGUUAUAUUAUUUUCUUUGUGUGAACCUUUUAAAUGAUACAAGAGUGUAAGAGAAAGGCUUGUGAACCAAAAAUAUGCAUUUGGAGAAACGAAGACAUGUUAGAAACAUAUAUACUACACAUAGCAAGGAAGUGGUAAUAUCCCAUGAAGAAAAUGACUAGAGGAGAAAAAAAGUCUUUCCUUGAUUUUUGGAAGUAGAAAUUGCUUCACCAACUAAAUUCUAUAAUGACACAACCAUAUCAGAUAUAGCUUUAUUAUCAUAAACAUGUGCAAACAUUUAUUUUGUGGAUAUGCAUGCAACUAUAAAAUAACUCAAUCUUGAUUUAUUUAUCAUGUGAGUGGUUAGGAUUGAAUUAAAGGGAGCAUGCCUCCCUAACCACAUGAUAGGGACUUUUGUUUAUGAUAAGUGUAACUUAAGGGAGCAUUGUUUCAGAUAAGAUCAUACACCGGCUAAAUUUGAUAAUCACAAUUCAAAUACUCUCCGCCAAUUGAUAGCAACAUUUUUUUUAGAGAAAAUCAAAUUGAAAAUUUCACUAAAAUUUGGUAAAUUCAAAUCCAAACACUAGUCAUGUGUUCACAAUCCAUGGGCCUCAGUUUUCACAGCCCGUUUUAAGUAGACGAAAUUUGCUAUAGCUCAAGUGAGUUUUAAUUGCUUACUUGACCUCGGUUUUAAAAAAUGUUGCAAAGACUUGAAGUCAACAUUAUUAAAUUGUAAUUAAAAACUUAAAAUCAAAUUAAACACGAUUAAUUUAAAUGAAUUCAAAUUUAGUAAAUUCUUUCUUGACAUAUUAAUAUUAAUAUAUAUUUAAAAUUCAGCUCCUGAACUUUAAACCCCUAAAAUACUCGGAUUACUAUAUAUAAAAUAAUGAAUACAAUCCAAUUCUAUGCCUAGAUUUGAGUGGAUAUGAAGUUAUAAACAGAAACACGUCUAAGUCGUAGUUUCCAGUACAUAAGCAGUAAUCUGGAUGUGCAAAAAUGAAACCAUCUCCACAUUUUUUAACAACUCUGAUGCUGCAGGCAUUUCCUUCAACAACUCUGAUGCUGCAGGCAUUUCCUUCAACAACUCUGAUGCUGCAGGCAUUUCCUUCAACAACUCUGAUGCUGCAGGCAUUUCCUUCAACAACUCUGAUGCUGCAGGCAUUUCCUUCAACAACUCUGAUGCUGCAGGCAUUUCCUUCAACAACUCUGAUGCUGCAGGCAUUUCCUUCAAAUAUUAAACCUCCCCAUACUUGCCUGCAACUAUUUUGUUAGGCUGACAAUUACUGAUACAAUAUAUGGAAGAAGGUACAAUAAUAAAGCACCAAGCACUGAUGAUAGUGCAAGUAUUAGAAAACAAAUUGUCCUCUACUGAUUUUUAACUUGCGCGCUCUAAUGGGGAACUAAACAGAAAAGGUAAAUAGAUUUAAGAACAAGUUAGCGAUAGGACAUAGACGGCCCCGCAAAUGAGUACCGAGAUGAAACAGGCGGUGGUGCGAUUUCUGGUUUGGCUCCUUGGUAUGUCUUCCUAUAAUCUGGUAGUGGAUCAAUAGCAUACUUUAAGUGCAAUUUAUCCAUUUGAUCAGUCUCUCUCCUAUGUAGAGGAUCAGCUUCAGUUAAAUAAGUCUCUUUCAGACUAUCAGAAUAAUAGGAAGCUGAAGAAACUUCUUCGCGCCUUGGGGGCAGCACAUAUGAAUUCGCAGAAGCACCGUGUUGAUAAGAAUAAUAUGGAUCCCUUGUAUACGAGUCUAACGCAGUAAUCGCAGAACCAGAUGCUGCUGCAGAAACUGAAGGAGCUGCAGGUGGCAAUUCACUUCUACCACUAAGAUUAUAUGUCUGAAACUCUCUUUGAGCCAAGUACAGGGGAUCAGCAAGAAUGGAUGCUCUCUGCAUGGGAACAGUAUCACCAUAUAUAGUAGCUGGCUGUCUAAGAAGCUGCUCUCUUUCCAGAUCCUUCUGGUAUAGAUCUAGGGUAUUAGAAGGAGCACCACGUACAGGAGUCACGUUUCUUCGCUCUCUUUGAAGACCAUAAGUACGAUAAUCCUUUUCACUCAUGUAUAAAUCGCGAGAAGUUUCCUCUUUAUGUCUUAAUACCACCUCCUGGCGCCCAAUACCCUGAUCCCUUUCAUGAGGGACUACAGGAUAACUCCUACCAUCACCACUAACUCUGGCAAAUGUUUCCGGAUCUGAAAGACGUCGCAAAUCUCUCUGCCCCUCACAAGCUUCCCUAUCUCGCAUAGUUGCCUUUGCUGGGGAAUGGAUAGGCACUGUAGCUGACUGCACUGACUGAAAUAUGGCAGGUCGGAAAAGUUCACUGAGCUUCCUAACCUGAAAGGGAAAUUUCGUAAAAUCAUGAAUGGUAAACUGUGAAAAUAGAGAAUAACCAUAAAACUACCAGGUUAAACAAGUAAUUCUCACUUGUCGAACAGUAAGUUCUAUCUUGAACUUGUUCUUCUCAUCGUAGUUGUCCUUUAUAGCCCUCUUGAAGACACUCUCAGGGAGUGGAAAACAAUCCUUAUGGAUACUGAAACGUACCUGAACUUCAAAGAUAUCAGUCUACAGAUCUAACUAAAUUGGUGAAGAAAACAACAAUGUUUACCGAGAUAAGUUAGACUGGAUAUACUAAAACAUAACCUGAACUGGGAAGGACCCACCAAAAGCCUUGGGCUCCAGUCUCAUCCCACCAGAAGAUGAAGCUUUAUAAAUUCCAUACAUAAGUCUAAGAUCAAAAUCAUAGAGGAAAAGCUUUAGUCCAGGUUUCACACCCAGCACAAGGUCUUUUUUACUUCCUGUUACUCCCAUGACUUGAUAUCGGAAACAAUCUGGCUUGGUCUUUGCACUACACAUAAAGAUCAAACCACCGAGCUUCUCCUUUCUUUCAUCUCUUUGACUCUUUUCCUUCAAAUCAAGCUUUUCUUUGUUUCUUUGACUCCUCGAGUUCUUAUCUGUAUUGCCAGGCUUUCCUUCACUCCUUAAGUUACUCCCGUUCCUACUUGAACCAGCAAUCCUUUCUUGGCUCUUUUGAGUCUCCAGGUGCUUUGCAUUGUGCUCUUCAUGGGCACCUUUGUUUUGUCCCUCUUUCUCAGAAUUUGGGUUCUGAUCAUUCUUGUGCUCUUGCCUGUCACCUUCCUU